rfam:Picea glauca, whole genome shotgun sequence.
ACAUGCCUAAAUCAUAGCGCUAAUGCACCAGAUCCCAUUAGAACUCCGUAGUUAAGCGCGCUCAAUCUAGAGUAGUAUUGGGAUGGUUGACUGCUCGAGAAGUCCUAGUGUUUUACAUGCC